AACGAACGCUGGCGGCAUGCCUAACACAUGCAAGUCGAACGCGUGUAGCAAUACACGGGUGGCGGACGGGUGAGUAACGCGUGGGAACCUGCCCAGUGGUAGGGAAUAACUGCGGGAAACUGCAGCUAAUACCCUAUACGCCCUUUGGGGGAAAGAUUCAUCGCCAUUGGAGGGGCCCGCGUCGGGUUAGCUAGUUGGCGGGGUAACGGCCCACCAAGGCAACGAUCCGUAGCUGGUCUGAGAGGAUGAUCAGCCACACUGGGACUGAGAUACGGCCCAGACUCCUACGGGAGGCAGCAGUGGGGAAUAUUGGACAAUGGGGGAAACCUGAUCCAGCAAUGCCGCGUGAGUGAAGAAGGCCUU
rnacentral:rRNA from 1 species